rnacentral:rRNA from 1 species
GAUGAACGCUGGCGGCGUGCUUAACACAUGCAAGUCGAACGAUGAAGCCCAGCUUGCUGGGUGGAUUAGUGGCGAACGGGUGAGUAACACGUGAGUAACCUGCCCUUAACUCUGGGAUAAGCCUGGGAAACUGGGUCUAAUACCGGAUAGGAGCGUCCACCGCAUGGUGGGUGUUGGAAAGAUUUAUCGGUUUUGGAUGGACUCGCGGCCUAUCAGCUUGUUGGUGAGGUAAUGGCUCACCAAGGCGACGACGGGUAGCCGGCCUGAGAGGGUGACCGGCCACACUGGGACUGAGACACGGCCCAGACUCCUACGGGAGGCAGCAGUGGGGAAUAUUGCACAAUGGGCGCAAGCCUGAUGCAGCGACGCCGCGUGAGGGAUGACGGCCUUCGGGUUGUAAACCUCUUUCAGUAGGGAAGAAGCGAAAGUGACGGUACCUGCAGAAGAAGCACCGGCUAACUGCGUG